rnacentral:rRNA from 1 species
CUUAGGAUGAACGCUGGCGGCGUGCCUAACACAUGCAAGUCGAACGAAGCGUCCCGCCCGAAGAAGAGGAGAGCUUGCUCAAAUCGGACUCAAUUGGGAUGACUUAGUGGCGGACGGGUGAGUAACGCGUGGGUAACCUGCCGUGUGCAGGGGGAUAACAGUUAGAAAUGACUGCUAAUACCGCAUAAGCGCACAGUAUCGCAUGAUACAGUGUGAAAAGCCGAGACGGCACACGAUGGACCCGCGUCUGAUUAGCCAGUUGGCAGGGUAACGGCCUACCAAAGCGACGAUCAGUAGCCGGCCUGAGAGGGUGAACGGCCACAUUGGGACUGAGACACGGCCCAAACUCCUACGGGAGGCAGCAGUGGGGGAUAUUGCACAAUGGGGGAAACCCUGAUGCAAGCGACGCCGCGUGAGUGAAGAAGUAUUUCGGUAUGUAAAGCUCUAUCAGCAGGGAAGAAAAUGACGGUACCUGACUAAGAAGCUCCGGCUAAAUACGUGCCAGCCGCCGC